GCCUCCUAUGCACUUCUUCCUUGGGACCCGUUCACAAGUUGCUUAGGUUUUGCCACUUGCAAUACAGAGAUUCUCAACAGGAAGUGGUCCGGAUAUACUCCAAGUAAGGCUUGGAGUCCCAGAGUCAUCACCAACUGUUACGGGCUUACUACCAAGAGAAAGUUACGCAAACUCGUGAAUAUGGUAAAGUUGUUGUUAAAAUUUUUAUGAUAUGCAUGUACAUAAAACUUUCAAAUGAUUAUUUGAUGAAAAGUGUUUUAGUGUUUACUCUGGUUAAUAAAGUAAUGGCACUGAGAAACAUAUUGGAAAAUGACUUGGAAAACAUAGGGACGGUGGGUGUUAUAGGACCCAACUCGAAUCCGCCAUGUGUAGUCUUGAGUCUUAAGAUUAGGAUUUACCUGAUUCACACGUUGAAAGGCAUUUUGGAGUCCAACUAAGAAAAGGUUAAUUAUAUCCCAACUCCGUAAAUAGUAUGUAGGAGAACUUUUACUUGAUUAGGUAACUGUAAAGUUUUGAGCUACACUCGUGUAAAGCACCUCUGCUUGCUAGUUUCUCGAAAAUGCAAGCUAUUUGGUGACCUAAUCAUGUGGUCAGCAUCUUGGGUUUGCUUAUACUAGUAACCAUUAGUCCAUUAAUUAGUACUUUGAGUUGCCUUUCUUGUAUUAUGAGCAAAAAUGUUUACUACGUGGAAGCUACAGGAUAUGAUGAUACUCUCAGGUUUGAGGACUAGCUCCAGUUACGCUUUUGGGUCCAGUGGAUGUACGAUACCCAUUUUGUGGUCCAAAAAGAAUGAGAUUUGCUGAACGCUCUAGUGGCCAAAUUCAUGUGGCUUCCUUCACUCUACGCCUCUAGAGCUGAAAAGUUAGAUUUCUGUAUAAAAUGCUGGUCCUAGGAUACACUUUUCGCAUCUCUGCCUCUUUCAUUUUUGCUUACAUCGCACUUCUCUUUCCCAUAUGGUAAAUUUAAACUUUGAAAAUGUUUUUUUGGCUUGGUAAUUUGAACUUAACAAUUUUUUCUUGUUAAUUACUAGUUUUUAUGAGGAGUGUAAUGGCAUGUAGAAAUGUUAUGAAAUGAUUUCAUGAUCAUUGAAUUCUAAAAAAAAAAGAUUCAAGGUUCCUUACAUUAGUAAACAUAUCGAGAGAUCUUUAUCCUGCCAAAUUGCCUUUGAGUGCUUUGUUGAUGGAUUUUUUUGGAGAUUUUAAUGUGGUUCGAGUUCAUGAAGAGUAAAUUGUGUAUUGGCCUGUUUCACUUGUAGUUCAAGUAAUAGGUAUGUAUCUCGCUUAUUAUUGCUCUCUGAAAAUCUGCAAGUUCAUUGUUGUUGCGGUUUGGAACUUCUGUCACAUGUGUAGGCCUUCGGAUAACAUGAAACUUGCAUCGAGAAUUUCUGGAGGCAAAAUAUAUUGCUUAUUGUGAUUCAUUUCAACAGAUUGAGGAAAGAAAAGUACAUUGCUUAUUAGUUUUCAUUGUUUAUCAGUUUUUGUGGUUGCUAAUACUUCACUUCUUUCAGAGUUUUGGAAAUCCUAUUUCAUUGCAAAGAGUGAAAAGAGAACAAGAGUCUAGGGACCAUAUAAAGCUUGUAGUUGUACGUUUUGUGCGGAUUCUCCCACUUUUCAUGGCUGUGACUGUGAGCAUCAGAGGAAAAGUGCAAAAGUGCAAAAGUGCAGUGACCUUCGGCUAAAGAUCGCCGAAUAGGUUUUCUGGUGAUCUGAGAACUUGCUGCUGUAAACACUUUUGGCUUCAGUGAAUGCAUUUAUGUGGUCCAAUACAACAUAUUUUACAACAAACUGAUAGGUGGCAAAAAGUGAAGGCCUUACAGUGUCACCCUUUUCCUUUCGCUGCCUCGUUAUUCUUUUGUAAAAGCAUUGACAUAUUCUGCUAGAACUUGGUUGUGAAUGGUGGAGUCUUGUUAGCAGAGAGAACCACGUGGGAAUGGAUUUGGCACCAAUGUUAAUCAGGCAAAAGAAUAUGCUUCAAUGGAUGGAUGAAAGUGGAAUCGUUUAUAUUCUAGGUGAUCAAGUGUCAGCAAGAAAGGAAUCAAUAGUUAUUUUCGUACAUUUGGAAACGUGUUAAAU